rfam:Lottia gigantea unplaced genomic scaffold LOTGIsca_128, whole genome shotgun sequence.
AUCGCUUCUCGGCCUUUUGGCUAAGAUCAAAGUGUAGUAUCUGUUCUUAUCAGCUUAAUAUCUGAUACGUCCCCCAUCGGGGGACUUCGAUAUUAAACUGAUUUUUGGACUUAGGCAAAGAGUUUGGGGCUUGCUCCACCUUUGCCGCGGGUUGGCCUGGUAUUGCAGUACUUCCAGGAUUGGCCCACUCCCU